CUUUUUAGAUCUUUAGCAAUGUGCUAUGUGGUUGUCAAUGUUUAGAAAUGUGUUUCAUUGUGUGAAAAUUUUGUAGUUUGUAGAGCUUGACCUUCUAUAUCUUUCAAAUCAGCAAAUUGAUAGGUAGAGUUGCUAGGAUUUUCUUUCUGGUGUGAGAAGUGCCUUAGCUAGAUACCCGGAGAAUUUUCUAGGGAAGGUCAUAUGUGAAACCAAGUUUAAAAUCCUACAAUGGUUUCAUUAUCUGAUAAAAUGAUGGCAAAGAAAAUGAUUAUAGCUUUGCCCCUUCUGUCAUGAAUUAGAGUGUAGAAGCUGAUUUCUCUAAUCUUGUUCUCAACUGUCUUCCAAGCUUUACAACUGAUGGUCUCGCUGCCAUUGUUGCCAAUUGUAGCAAAUGUAGCCCAAAAGGAAAUUGAUAAGUACAUCAAGAUACCUGGAGAAGCCCUUCAGCUAAGACGACCUAUCAACAACAGUUCCAUAUCGGUCCAAAUGCAGAGGUUUUGCAGUCUCCUCCAGCUAAAUACAUCUGCUUAGACUAGAAUGAGGAUUUUGGGAACUGUUUUUGCAAAGUGAAAUUAUUUCACCACUGCUAAGGACAAAUGGGAAACUUAAUUUGGUUCACACAACACAAAUCUUUUCUUAGCAAAGAAGGGGAGAGCUUGUUCCCUAAUUGCUCUUGGACAAGAGUAUUGGCUGCCCAUUCUUACUGGUGCCAACACCAGGCUAAGCAACAUGGCAAGCACCAGGUUUGUCCCAAGGAUCAUAGACAAUAGCUCAACUUGUAGACAUGGAGCUCCAAUGUACUCGGCAUUGUAUAAUCUAGAAAAGAGCAAAAGUUGAUAGAUACAGAGGAAGAAGGCAAAUGUACAAAUGACCCUCCUAAAUUAGUGUAUGAAUAUUUGGGAAAUAUAUAAUUACGUUUGA